GUGGAUUAGAUACCCGGGUAGUCCACGCCGUAAACGAUGUCGACUUGGAGGUUGUUCCCUUGAGGAGUGGCUUCCGGAGCUAACGCGUUAAGUCGACCGCCUGGGGAGUACGGCCGCAAGGUUAAAACUCAAAUGAAUUGACGGGGGCCCGCACAAGCGGUGGAGCAUGUGGUUUAAUUCGAUGCAACGCGAAGAACCUUACCUACUCUUGACAUCCAGAGAAUUUAGCAGAGAUGCUUUAGUGCCUUCGGGAACUCUGAGACAGGUGCUGCACGGCUGUCGCCAACU
rnacentral:rRNA from 1 species